rnacentral:tmRNA from 1 species
GGGGGCGACAUGGCUUCGACGUGGGUUGCAAAACUUAAGGUGCAUGCCGAGGUGACAGCGCAGCCUCGUAAAUCAUCCUGCUGUAAUUGUUAUAGUUGCAAACGACGAUAACUACGCUCUAGCGGCUUAAGCCCGUUAGCAUCUGACCAGCUCGUGCUUGUGCGGUUGAAUCAGGUGUAACUUACACAAGAUCGCGGGGCGAUACGCCUUAGGUCAAACCGCUAAAACUUACUCAGGCUCGUGAACUGAAAUCCUGGUCGUCGGAGUUCAGGAAACUAAAUUAAAUGACGAAACUAAGCAUGUAGGACCGAGAGCAGAGGGCUCGCGGACGCGGGUUCGAUUCCCGCCGCCUCCACCA